rnacentral:rRNA from 1 species
AUUGAGCGCUGGCGGCAGGCCUAACACAUGCAAGUCGAGCGAGCGGCGGACGGGUGAGUAAUGUAUGGGGACUGCCCGAUAGAGGGGGAUAACUACUGGAAACGGUGGCUAAUACCGCAUACUAUCGGAUAACCCAUAGGGGAUUAGCUAGUAGGUGGGGUAAAGGCUCACCUAGGCGACGAUCUCUAGCUGGUCUGGGCGGAGGAUCAGCAACACUGGGACGGAGACACGGCCCAGACGCCUACGGAGGCAGCAGUGGGGAAUAUUGCACAAUGGGCGCAAGCCUGAUGCAGCCAUGCCGCGUGUAUGAAGAAGGCCUUAGGGUUGUAAAGUACUUUCAGCGGGGAGGCGUUACCCGCAGAAGAAGCACCGGCUAACUCCGUGCCAGCCGCCGCGGUAAUAC